rnacentral:rRNA from 1 species
AGCGAACGCUGGCGGCAGGCCUAACACAUGCAAGUCGAACGAAGUCUUCGGACUUAGUGGCGGACGGGUGAGUAACACGUGGGAACGUACCUUUUGGUUCGGAACAACUCAGGGAAACUUGAGCUAAUACCGGAUGAGCCCUUAGGGGGAAAGAUUUAUCGCCGAAAGAGCGGCCCGCGUUAGAUUAGCUAGUUGGUGAGGUAAAGGCUCACCAAGGCUACGAUCUAUAGCUGGUCUGAGAGGAUGAUCAGCCACACUGGGACUGAGACACGGCCCAGACUCCUACGGGAGGCAGCAGUGGGGAAUCUUGCGCAAUGGGCGAAAGCCUGAUCCAGCCAUGCCGCGUGAGUGACGAAGGUCUUCGGAUUGUAAAGCUCUUUUGGCGGGGACGAUAAUGACGGUACCCGCAGAAUAAGCCCCGGCUAACUUCGUGCCAGCCGCCGCCGUAAAAC